UUUUUUUCUCACCUUUGUGUGUUUUUAUGGAGUGACACCUAACCUAAAGUGGUAAUUUCCUACGGAUCUGGGGUAACCACCAGAUGGCAACGGACAAUUAUUUGUUGUUGGAGUAAAUGAGUUUUGGGAUUUCCAGCAAGGGUUCCUGGUUUUGAACCUUUACCAUGGCAGUGCCACUACAUAACCGUUUCCAGGCUCUAGUUAGUUUAAAUGAUGAGGGGAUGGUAAGACAGGUGAACAAAUUGGCGGCCUUUAUUAAACCCUCCUCGCCUAACCAACAGACCCUGGCAAAGGUCCUGCAAAGAGUGGCGGGACUAGCUUCAGACUUACCCCAAUAACCAGGAAGAGCACGG